rnacentral:misc_RNA from 1 species
UUUUUUUUUUUUUUUUUGCUUUAGAUUUUCUGUUCUGUUCUGUUCUUUUUCUUUUACCUUUGAUUUAUGUAGAAGUGAAUUCUGGGUUGAUUAUUUAGCAGAGCUGUACUAUAAUGAAACAGAAGUGAACAGUUUGGAGCAUACUUUCUUUUGAGAAGUGUGGUUGUGAUUUUGUUUAGAAGUUGACUUUGCCAUAUUAAUUAUCUUUAUUGAUCUAACUCCUGUCCUCUUAAAUUAUUGAUGUAUGCGUUUACCAUUAGAUGUCUCUAGAUAAUGCAGUCGUCAUCACAGAAUUUUAUAUAGUUUUUGUGCUCGUUUAGUCACAGAUGGAAAACACUACAGCCACUGAAAGAGGAGAUGAACUGCUCCCUCUAAUUUGAACCAUUAACAAUGGGCUAGGUGAGGCAUUGACUGACUAGACUUGUUUGUUUGUUUCAAUUUUUUUUAGUAGAAUGUGCCUGCGAAAAAAUAAAUUUUGAUAAUAUUUCCCCCCUAGAGGAACUUUAAUUUUAAGUGAUGGGCAAUUUGGAUUUUUAUUUGGGAAGAGAACUGAUUGAUGCUUUUUAGAAAUGAUUCAGGAUCCCAUGCUCCCUUGUCCUGAACUCAAUAAAGCUUUUUCAUGUUUUCUGAGGAAACUCAAGUCAGAUUUAUUCAAUAUUAAAGAAGCCUUGAUUUAUAGUUCUGUGUUUAAGAAAUAAUUUCUGUGAGUUCCUUGCUGUAUUUUUUUUUAAUAUAUAAAAAUUAUCUUUUUGGUUGUGUUCCAUUGUUCUUGUGCUGUGUAGCAUGUGGACAGUAUCCAUAUCCAUCAUUUUUUUUCUGUUAGCUUAUUUUAAAGUUUUGGGUUAGAUGCUUUUGUUUCAUGCAUCAUUGACUAAACCACAAUCUUACUUGUUCUUUAGCUAUAGACGUGCAGUGUUUUAGAGUAUUAUACUUGUUAAUGGACUGAUGAUUUUUAAUAUUUAUUUUUGUUUUUUAUUGGAAAAUUUUUAUGCUUGUUAAUGGAUUGAUGAAUUUGAAAUAUUGAUUCAGCUUGAUAUUCUUGUGAAACUUUUCAUGAAGAAGUAUGCAGUGGAGUUGCCAUUGAGUCACAGAGAAAUUGAGCUGCAACAGGAGCAAGUACUUUCAGAGCUUGAUAGUUGG